UAUUGAUAUGCCGACCACUCUACUCCAG
rnacentral:sRNA from 1 species